AGUGAACGCUGGCGGCAUGCCUAACACAUGCAAGUCGAACGGCAGCACAGUAAUAGCUUGCUCUUACGGUUGGCGAGUGGCGGGCGGGUCAGGAAUACAUCGGAAUCUACUUUUUCGUGGGGGUUAACGAAGGGAAACUUACGCUAAUACCGCAUACGACCUACGGGUGAAAGCAGGGGAUCUUCGGACCUUGCGCGAUUGAAUGAGCCGAUGUCGGAUUAGCUAGGUGGCGGGGUAAAGGCCCACCAAGGCGACGAUCCGUAGCUGGUCUGAGAGGGGGAUCCGCCCCACUGGAACUGGAACACGGUCCUGAGUCCUACGGGAGGCACCGGUGGGGAAUGUUGGACGCUGGGCGGAAGACUGAUCCAGGCGUACCGCGUGGGUGCAGAGAGCCUUCGGGUUGGAUAGCCGUUUUGUUGGGAAAGAAAAGCAGCGGGUUAAUCCACGCCUGUUGUGACGGUACCCAGAGAAUAAGCACCGGCUAACUUCGUG
rnacentral:rRNA from 1 species